AACGAACGCUGGCGGCAGGCCUAACACAUGCAAGUCGAGCGAGCAUUUCGGUGCUAGCGGCGGACGGGUGAGUAACGCGUGGGAACGUGCCCUUUUCUGCGGAAUAGUCCUGGGAAACUGGGGGUAAUACCGCAUACGCCCUUUUGGGGAAAGGUUUAUCGGAGAAGGAUCGGCCCGCGUUGGAUUAGGUAGUUGGUGGGGUAAUGGCCCACCAAGCCGACGAUCCAUAGCUGGUUUGAGAGGAUGAUCAGCCACACUGGGACUGAGACACGGCCCAGACUCCUACGGGAGGCAGCAGUGGGGAAUCUUAGACAAUGGGGGCAACCCUGAUCUAGCCAUGCCGCGUGAGUGAUGAAGGCCUUAGGGUUGUAAAGCUCUUUCAGCUGGGAAGAUAAUGACGGUACCAGCAGAAGAAGCCCCGGCUAACUCCGUG
rnacentral:rRNA from 1 species